rnacentral:rRNA from 1 species
GAGGGGGUGCAAGCGUUAUUCGGAAUCACUGGGCGUAAAGGGUGCGUAGACGGCUUGCUAAGUCUGCUGUUAAAUUCUUCGGCUUAACCGAGGAUAUGCGGCGGAAACUGGUUUGCUUGAGGAUGGAAGAGAGAAGUGGAAUUCCCGGAGUAGCGGUAAAAUGCGUAGAUCUCGGGAGGAACACCAAUGGCGAAGGCAGCUUCUUGGUCCAUUCCUGACGUUGAGGCACGAAAGCGUGGGGAGCAAACAGGAUUAGAUACCCUGGUAGUCCACGCUGUAAACGAUAACCACUAGACGUCAGCUAAGCGUUGCUUAGUUGGUGUCGAAGCUAACGCGUUAAGUGGUUCGCCUGGGGAGUACGGUCGCAAAGAUUA